rnacentral:rRNA from 1 species
UACAGAGACCUCAAACGUUAUCCGGAAUCACUGGGCGUAAAGCGUUCCGAUCGGUGGUUUGGUAAGUCUUUGGUGAAAGCCUGGAGCUCAACUCCAGAAUUGCCAAGGAAACUAUCAGACUAGAAGUGCAAAGAGGGAGCUAGAACUUUGGGUGUAGCGGUGAAAUGCGUUGAUAUCCAAAGGAAUACUAAUAGCGAAGGCAGGCUCCUGGGUGCAUCUUGACACUGCUAGGACGAAAGCGUGGGGAGCGAAUGGG